UGUCUGAAUCAAAGGAACUUGUUUCUUCAAGCUCUUCUGGCAGGAAUUCUGACAGUGAGUUUGACAAAAAGUUAAAGAAGAAAAAGUAAGUUGCUCCAGAAAAACUUGUAAAGGAACAAAAGACUGGCAAAACUUUGGGAGCUCUGUCAUCUUCCAAACAGAGCAGCGGCACUGAUAACAUGUUUCAGAUUGGGAAAAUGAGGUACCUUAGUGUUUGGGAUGUUAAAGGGGAAGUGCUAAUUGAUGGUAUUAGAGAUUAUUGGAUGGAUCUCAAAGGUUAAAUAAAACCAGGAAGAAAAGGUAUUUCUUUAAAUCCACAGCAAUGGGGCCAGCUGAAGA
rnacentral:lncRNA from 10 species